rnacentral:rRNA from 1 species
GUACACAAAAAUGCACAUGCUGUGAGCUCGAUGAGUAGGGCGGGACACGUGGUAUCCUGUCUGAAUAUGGGGGGACCAUCCUCCAAGGCUAAAUACUCCUGACUGACCGAUAGUGAACCAGUACCGUGAGGGAAAGGCGAAAAGAACCCCGGCGAGGGGAGUGAAAAAGAACCUGAAACCGUGUACGUACAAGCAGUGGGAGCACGCUUAGGCGUGUGACUGCGUACCUUUUGUAUAAUGGGUCAGCGACUUAUAUUCUGUAGCAAGGUUAACCGAAUAGGGGAGCCGAAGGGAAACCGAGUCUUAACUGGGCGUUAAGUUGCAGGGUAUAGACCCGAAACCCGGUGAUCUAGCCAUGGGCAGGUUGAAGGUUGGGUAACACUAACUGGAGGACCGAACCGACUAAUGUUGAAAAAUUAGCGGAUGACUUGUGGCUGGGGGUGAAAGGCCAAUCAAACCGGGAGAUAGCUGGUUCUCCCCGAAAGCUAUUUAGGUAGCGCCUCGUGAAUUCAUCUCCGGGGGUAGAGCACUGUUUCGGCAAGGGGGUCAUCCCGACUUACCAACCCGAUGCAAACUGCGAAUACCGGAGAAUGUUAUCACGGGAGACACACGGCGGGUGCUAACGUCCGUCGUGAAGAGGGAAACAACCCAGACCGCCAGCUAAGGUCCCAAAGUCAUGGUUAAGUGGGAAACGAUGUGGGAAGGCCCAGACAGCCAGGAUGUUGGCUUAGAAGCAGCCAUCAUUUAAAGAAAGCGUAAUAGCUCACUGGUCGAGUCGGCCUGCGCGGAAGAUGUAACGGGGCUAAACCAUGCACCGAAGCUGCGGCAGCGACACUAUGUGUUGUUGGGUAGGGGAGCGUUCUGUAAGCCUGUGAAGGUGUACUGUGAGGUAUGCUGGAGGUAUCAGAAGUGCGAAUGCUGACAUAAGUAACGAUAAAGCGGGUGAAAAGCCCGCUCGCCGGAAGACCAAGGGUUCCUGUCCAACGUUAAUCGGGGCAGGGUGAGUCGACCCCUAAGGCGAGGCCGAAAGGCGUAGUCGAUGGGAAACAGGUUAAUAUUCCUGUACUUGGUGUUACUGCGAAGGGGGGACGGAGAAGGCUAUGUUGGCCGGGCGACGGUUGUCCCGGUUUAAGCGUGUAGGCUGGUUUUCCAGGCAAAUCCGGAAAAUCAAGGCUGAGGCGUGAUGACGAGGCACUACGGUGCUGAAGCAACAAAUGCCCUGCUUCCAGGAAAAGCCUCUAAGCAUCAGGUAACAUCAAAUCGUACCCCAAACCGACACAGGUGGUCAGGUAGAGAAUACCAAGGCGCUUGAGAGAACUCGGGUGAAGGAACUAGGCAAAAUGGUGCCGUAACUUCGGGAGAAGGCACGCUGAUAUGUAGGUGAAGUCCCUCGCGGAUGGAGCUGAAAUCAGUCGAAGAUACCAGCUGGCUGCAACUGUUUAUUAAAAACACAGCACUGUGCAAACACGAAAGUGGACGUAUACGGUGUGACGCCUGCCCGGUGCCGGAAGGUUAAUUGAUGGGGUCAGCGCAAGCGAAGCUCUUGAUCGAAGCCCCGGUAAACGGCGGCCGUAACUAUAACGGUCCUAAGGUAGCGAAAUUCCUUGUCGGGUAAGUUCCGACCUGCACGAAUGGCGUAAUGAUGGCCAGGCUGUCUCCACCCGAGACUCAGUGAAAUUGAACUCGCUGUGAAGAUGCAGUGUACCCGCGGCAAGACGGAAAGACCCCGUGAACCUUUACUAUAGCUUGACACUGAACAUUGAGCCUUGAUGUGUAGGAUAGGUGGGAGGCUUUGAAGUGUGGACGCCAGUCUGCAUGGAGCCGACCUUGAAAUACCACCCUU